GGGGGAUAUUGCACAAUGGAGGAAACUCUGAUGCAGCAACGCCGCGUGAGGGAAGAAGGUUUUCGGAUUGUAAGAAUCUUUAAUAUAGGAAGAAAAUGACAGUACUAUAUCAAAAAGGUCCGGCUAAUUACGUGCCAGCAGCCGCGGUAAUACGUAAGGACCGAGCGUUGUCCGGAAUCAUUGGGCGUAAAGAGUACGUAGGCGGUUUAACAAGUUAGGAGUAAAAGGCAUCGGCUCAACCGGUGUAAGCUUUUAAAACUAUUAAACUUGAGACAUUGAGGGGAAAGUGGAAUUUCUAGUGUAGCGGUGAAAUGCGCAGAUAUUAGGAAGAAUACCAGAGGCGAAGGCGACUUUCUAGCGAUGAUCUGACGCUGAGGUACGAAAGCGUGGGUAGCAAACA
rnacentral:rRNA from 1 species